AACGAACGCUGGCGGCAUGCCUAACACAUGCAAGUCGAACGAGACCUCCGGGUCUAGUGGCGCACGGGUGCGUAACGCGUGGGAACCUGCCCUUAGGUUCGGAAUAACUCCCCGACAGGGGUGCUAAUACCGGAUAAUGUCUUCGGACCAAAGAUUUAUCGCCUUUGGAUGGGCCCGCGUUGGAUUAGCUAGUUGGUAGGGUAAAAGCCUACCAAGGCGACGAUCCAUAGCUGGUCUGAGAGGAUGAUCAGCCACACUGGGACUGCGACACGGCCCAGACUCCUACGGGAGGCAGCAGUGGGGAAUAGUGUACAAUGGGCGAAAGCCUGAUCCAGCAAUGCCGCGUGAGUGAUGAAGGCCUUAGGGUUGUAAAGCUCUUUUACCCGGGAUGAUAAUGACAGUACCGGGAAAAUAAGCUCCGGCUAACUCCGUG
rnacentral:rRNA from 1 species